rnacentral:rRNA from 1 species
UCAGGCCUAACACAUGCAAGUCGAGCGCUCACAGCAAUGUGGGAGCGGCAGACGGGUGAGUAACGCGUGGGAACCUACCUAUUGCUGCGGAAUAACUCAGGGAAACUUGAGCUAAUACCGCAUGUGCCCUUCGGGGGAAAGAUUUAUCGGCAAUAGAUGGGCCCGCGUCGGAUUAGCUAGUUGGUGGGGUAACGGCCUACCAAGGCGACGAUCCGUAGCUGGUCUGAGAGGAUGAUCAGCCACACUGGGACUGAGACACGGCCCAGACUCC